rnacentral:rRNA from 1 species
AUUGGACGCUGGCGGCAUGCCUUACACAUGCAAGUCGAACGGCAGCACGGGUGCUUGCACCUGGUGGCGAGUGGCGAACGGGUGAGUAAUACAUCGGAACGUACCUUAUCGUGGGGGAUAACGCAGCGAAAGCUGUGCUAAUACCGCAUACGCCCUGAGGGGGAAAGCGGGGGAUCGCAAGGCCUCGCGCGAUUAGAGCGGCCGAUGCCUGAUUAGCUUGUUGGUGGGGUAAAAGCCCACCAAGGCGACGAUCAGUAGCUGGUCUGAGAGGACGAUCAGCCACACUGGGACUGAGACACGGCCCAGACUCCUACGGGAGGCAGCAGUGGGGAAUUUUGGACAAUGGGGGCAACCCUGAUCCAGCAAUGCCGCGUGAGUGAAGAAGGCCUUCGGGUUGUAAAGCUCUUUUGUCAGGGAAGAAACACCGGCUCUAACACAGUCUGGGAAUGACGGUACCUGAAGAAUAAGCACCGGCUAACUACGUGCCAGCCGCCGCCGUAA